CCACCUUCUAGUAAGAGGUUCACUUUCACCAACCUUAGAAAAUCCUGUAAUUGACUGGGAUUCAUUUACUCUAGUUGUCUAUUUCUUUGGCAUAAAAUGAAAGUGGUGUAAAACACAUGCUCAUCAUGUUGAAUUCUUGCCUGCAGUAUUGGUGGUCUAAGCUAUUUAAACUUAAGAAGACACUAGAAGCAUCUGGAGUUCACUAGGAAAUUGGCUAUUGGGAUGAAACUCAGAAUGUACUUUAUUGUGAAAAUUGAAUUUUGUGAAGGACAAGCUGCCUGUUAGAAGGAAAGAGAAUUAUGAGAAGGUAAAUUAAGAGUUCACUUGACUUCCUAAGACAUGAGAGAGGAGAAUCACGGAUUCAAGGAUGGAUCUCGAGUGGAUCAAAGAAAUCCGAUGUGAAGGUACCAUCAAAGCAAGGAGACUUUUUUGAGAUAAAGAUCAAGGAUAAUAAGGCUAAGAGCUACAAGUUCUUCCUAUAGCAUAGCAAGAAAGAGCAGUCAUUCGUACCAAAAUUAAAAAAAGAACAGUCACUAGAGACAAAUCAUAUUACAAACUACUAAUAUUACUCUCAAAAUCGGAACAGGACCUAUUAGAGUCAAAUUGUUCUCUUGUGGGCUAAAAAAUUAAAGCAGGCAGCAUGGA
rnacentral:lncRNA from 1 species